GACGAACGCUGGCGGCGUGCUUAACACAUGCAAGUGGAGCGACGAACCAGGCUUCGGCCUGGGGCAGAGCCGCGAACGGGUGAGUAACACGUGGGUAACCUGCCUCGAUGACCGGGACAACCCGGGGAAACCCGGGCUAAUACCGGAUGUGCUGCCCUCACAUCAGUGAGGGUUGGAAAGGAAGCUUCGGCCUCCGCAUCGAGAUGGGCCCGCGGCCCAUUAGCUUGUUGGUGAGGUAAAGGCUCACCAAGGCUGCGAUGGGUAGCUGGUCUGAGAGGACGAUCAGCCACACUGGGACUGAGACACGGCCCAGACUCCUACGGGAGGCAGCAGCAAGGAAUCUUGGGCAAUGGACGAAAGUCUGACCCAGCGACGCCGCGUGAGGG
rnacentral:rRNA from 1 species